CUACGGGGGGCAGCAGUGGGGAAUAUUGCUCAAUGGAGGAAACUCUGAUGCAGCAACGCCGCGUGGAGGAUGACACUUUUCGGAGCGUAAACUCCUUUUAUAUAGGAAGAAGAUGACGGUACUAUAUGAAUAAGCGCCGGCGAACUCCGGCCAGCAGCCGCGGUAAUACGGAGGGCGCAAGCGUUACUCGGAAUCACUGGGCGUAAAGAGCGUGUAGGCGGAUUAAAAAGUCAGAAGUGAAAUCCUAUAGCUUAACUAUAGAACUGCUUCUGAAACUCUUAAUCUAGAAUAUGGGAGAGGUAGAUGGAAUUUCUGGUGUAGGGGUAAAAUCCGUAGAGAUCAGAAGGAAUACCGAUUGCGAAGGCGAUCUACUAGAACAUUAUUGACGCUGAGACGCGAAAGCGUGGGGAGCAAACAGGAUUAGAUACCCCUGUAGUC
rnacentral:rRNA from 1 species